UACGUAGGAUCCGAGCGUUGUCCGGAUUUACUGGGUGUAAAGGGUGCGCAGGCGGAUUGGUAAGUCAGUGGUGAAAUCUCGUCGCUUAACGACGAAACUGCCUUUGAUACUAUCAGUCUUGAAUCCGGUAGAGAUCUGUGGAAUUCCGAGUGUAGCAGUGAAAUGUGUAGAUAUUCGGAAGAACACCAGUGGCGAAGGCAGCAGAUUGGGCCGGUAUUGACGCUCAGGCACGAAAGCAUGGGGAUCAAACAGG
rnacentral:rRNA from 1 species